rnacentral:rRNA from 1 species
UACGAAGGGGGCUAGCGUUGUUCGGAAUGACUGGGCGUAAAGGGUGUGUAGGCGGUUAUACACGUCAGAUGUGAAAUCCCUGGGCUUAACCUGGGAAUGGCAUUUGAUACGGUAUGGCUAGAGAUUGGUAGAGGGUAGGGGAAUUGCGAGUGUAGAGGUGAAAUUCGUAGAGAUUCGCAGGAACACCGGUGGCGAAGGCGCCUACCUGGGCCGAGACUGACGCUGAGGCACGAGAGCGUGGGGAGCAAACAGG